UACGGAGGGUGCAAGCGUUAUCCGGAUUCACUGGGUUUAAAGGGUGCGUAGGCGGCUUGUUAAGUCGGGGGUGAAAGUUUUCGGCCCAACCGGAAAAUUGCCUUUGAUACUGGCGAGCUUGAGUGCGUGAGGGGUAACCGGAACGAGUGGUGUAGCGGUGAAAUGCGUAGAUAUCACUCGGAAGGCCAACGGCGAAGGCAGGUUACUGGUACGCAACUGACGCUGAGGCACGAAAGCGUGGGGAGCAAACAGG
rnacentral:rRNA from 1 species